AUCCUCCUCUCUUUGCGCAAGCAAACUCCAGUUGGCAACCAUACCGCUCCCAGCUCACACGCACAGACUCCAAGCACGACACGGACAACCUUGGGUGGAGCGUGCGUUUGCUUUAAAGUCCAGCACACAAUCCCAGUGCAGCUAAUUCGCUUCCCUCCGUGGCUGUGACCCAUUGUGGCUGUUUGGUUUUUCCUCAACGACAUCCUGGUGUUAUAGAAAUGGGCCAGUUCCAAUCGAUGCUGUCCGGAGCGGGUGGGACACCAAAGGCAAAAUCGCAAGGGAAGACAGCGAAGGGAGAGAAAAAACCGAAACAAGGAGCGGUGGAGGAGGCCGUUGACAAGGCUGUUGAUAUGGGUGCAACCGUUUUGAAAAAGAAAGGGUCUGAAGUCGCCAAAAAUCUUCCUUUCAGUACGUGAUCUGCCAUCUCCAACUUGAAGCAAUGUUUGUCGUUACAGUUUGUCUAGAACCCUCACGUUUAGAAACACAAUGUCCCUUUAAAUGAAUAAAAUGCUUCUUUAAAUGAA